UUCCACUUCUUUAUGAUACAGGCAAUAGAGGAAGAUGAAGCUCUGGCAUGGGAUAUGCAGCAUAUGCCUGUUCGCAAUGGCUUCAACCGACCUGGUACUUGCGCUUGGUCUGAACAAGAGAGGGCAUUGCUCAGCCCAGGCAUAGGACUCAUGAAGGCACUCCGCAUUACUAUGCGCAAAGUGUGUGUUCUUGUGAAGUUUUGUGGCCGGUGCACAAACAUGCAAGAGAACGCAGACUUGGACGCAAUAGCCGAUAUGUUUCGAACAUCUAGCUCAUUCGUGGAACACUUCAUCACAUGCCUCCACCCUCCCAUCUUUGGAACCGCUAUCCAAGAAAGUGGCACUGCACUGAAGGAAUGUGUACUAGCCAUACUGGAAGCAACAAAGCAAGUUUUAUUCUGUUGUAGGACAUUGUAGAUAGACAGUUUCAAGUGAUUUUUUUUUUU
rnacentral:lncRNA from 1 species